UGACCUAAUUCAUCCAAGAUUCAUCCUAAAAAUUAAAGAAAAUUGGAAGUCGCCUCCUUCCAGUCAUGGUAUCGACCCCCUUGCACGAAUUCCACUACAAUGGUUGCAUCACUAACUUGUUUAUAACAAGCUUUACUAUUUUAGAAAGAAGACUUACAAGCGCUUGUCCUCCAACAAAAUUCAAUGCAAAACAACAAUUAAGCUAAAAGAAAUCUUGCCUCAAAGUUUCCUGACUUUCUCGGUCUAGUCAGAGUACCCCUGGCUACAAAAACCCUUGUCCUUGCUCCAUUCCAGUUGUGCAACGCAUAUGCUUUAGCAUUCCAGAAACUAGAAUUGAAGCCGCAUCACCUCCAACAAUUUUUUCUUGAAAAUCUUGAGUGAAUUCCAAGAUAUGACCUUCCAAAGUAGCUUGAGUUGGCGGAGUGCUACAUCUUCACCACGGCCGACUCCUCUUCACUCCAACCACCAGAACUUCCUUGGCCUUUACUCAAUCUAAGCGUGCAAAUAGUUCUUGCAAAGCUGACAACAAGAACCAUCCACCACAAAAGUUUCAGCUCCAAAUUCAAUACUGUCCGCCAACAAUCGCCUUCCAAAGUCGGACCUCCAGAUCUGGCCGGCAGCUGACCUCCUUGUCACUAAAACACCACAACUUUCUUGUUUUCUCCCAAACAAAGCGUGCCUACUGUCCCGAGGAAGCUAACGACAAGAUCUAACUAUUGGUAAAGUUUGACGUUCUAUUUCCAAAUAACUAAUACACUACAGCUGCACAAUUGCAGCUCUAUAGAAACAAGGAUACGUGGGGAAGCAAUUUGGC
rnacentral:lncRNA from 1 species